AUUGAACGCUGGCUGCAGGCCUAACACAUGCAAGUCGAGCGGAGCGGCGGACGGGUGAGUAAUGCCUAGUAAUCUGCCUGGUAGUGCGGGAUAACGUCCGGAAACGGGCGCUAAUACCGCAUACUAUCAUAUGCGCCUAGGUGGUAUUAGCUAGCUGGUGGGUUAAAGGCGUACCAAGGCGACGAUCCGUAACUGGUCUGAGAGGAGGAUCAGUCAAACGGGAACUGAGAGACGGUCCAGACUCCGACGGGAGGAAGCGUUGGGGAAGAGUGGACAAUGGGCGAAAGCCUGAUCCAGCCAUGCCGCGUGUGUGAAGAAGGGCUUAGGAUUGUAAAGCAAUGUAAGUUGGGAGGCGGUACCAACAGAAAAAGCACCGGCUAACUACGUGCCAGCAGCCGCGGUAAUUC
rnacentral:rRNA from 1 species